rnacentral:lncRNA from 1 species
GUAUGAAAUAGGGUGCAGUGUGUAGGUUGUAGGGUGUAUGAAAUAGGGUGCAGUGUGUAGGGUUUAGGGUGGAUGAAAUAGGGUGCAGUGUGUAGGUUGUAGGGUGUAUGAAAUAGGGUGCAGUGUGUAGGGUUUAGGGUGUAUGUAUGGAAUAGGGUGCAGUGUGUAGGGUUUAGGGUGUAUGUAUGGAAUAGGGUGCAGUGUGUAGGGUUUAGGGUGUAUGUAUGGAAUAGGGUGCAGUGUGUAGGGUGUAGGGUGUAUGUAUGGAAUAGGGUGCAGUGUGUAGGGUGUAGGGUGUAUGUAUGGAAUAGGGUGCAGUGUGUAGGUUAUAGGGUGAAUGUAUG